rnacentral:rRNA from 1 species
UACAGAGGUCCCGAGCGUUGUUCGGAUUCACUGGGCGUAAAGGGUGCGUAGGUGGCUUGGUAAGUUUGAUGUGAAAGCUCAGGGCUCAACCCUGAAAUGGCAUUGAAUACUACUGAGCUGGAGGUUUGGAGGGGGGACUGGAAUUCUCGGUGUAGCAGUGAAAUGCGUAGAUAUCGAGAGGAACACCAGUGGCGAAGGCGAGUCCCUGGACAACACCUGACGCUGAGGCACGAAAGCUAGGGGAGCAAACAGG